UACGAAGGGUGCAAACGUUGCUCGGAAUCAUUGGGCGUAAAGCGCACGUAGGCGGCUCCGCAAGUCGGAUGUGAAAUCCCUCGGCUCAACCGAGGACGUGCAUCCGAAACUGCGGAGCUUGAGUACUGAAGAGGAUCGCGGAAUUCCCGGUGUAGAGGUGAAAUUCGUAGAUAUCGGGAGGAACACCGGUGGCGAAGGCGGCGACCUGGGACAAUACUGACGCUGAGGUGCGAAAGCGUGGGGAGCAAACAGG
rnacentral:rRNA from 1 species